UCCAGCAGCCAACUCACAACUGGCAGCCCACUGAAGCUCAGCAGGUGUGAGCCUGGUCAGUACCUGGAUGGGAGACCUCCUGGGAAAAACUAAGGUUGCUGCUGGAU
rnacentral:rRNA from 1 species